rnacentral:rRNA from 1 species
AUUGAACGCUGGCGGAAUGCUUUACACAUGCAAGUCGAACGGUAGAGGGGGCAACCCCUCGAGAGUGGCGAACGGGUGAGUAAUAUAUCGGAACGUGCCCAGUCGUGGGGGAUAACGUAGCGAAAGUUACGCUAAUACAGCAUACGACCUAAGGAUGAAAGCGGGGGAUCGCAAGACCUCGCGCGAUUGGAGCGGCCGAUAUCAGAUUAGGUAGUUGGUGGGGUAAAGGCUCACCAAGCCAACGAUCUGUAGCUGGUCUGAGAGGACGACCAGCCACACUGGAACUGAGACACGGUCCAGACUCCUACGGGAGGCAGCAGUGGGGAAUUUUGGACAAUGGACGCAAGUCUGAUCCAGCCAUUCCGCGUGCAGGAUGAAGGCCCUCGGGUUGUAAACUGCUUUUGUACGGAACGAAAAGGUCUCUCUUAAUACGGGGGGCUCAUGACGGUACCGUAAGAAUAAGCACCGGCUAACUACGUGCCAGCCGCCGCAGUAA